rnacentral:tRNA from 1 species
GCCGAGGUGGCGGAAUGGUAGACGCGGCGGACUUAAAAUCCGCUUCCGCCUCAGGCGGAGUGCGGGUUCGAAUCCCGCCCUCGGCACCA